UACGUAGGGUGCAAGCGUUAAUCGGAAUUACUGGGCAUAAAGCGUGCGCAGGCGGUUUUGUAAGUCUGUCGUGAAAGCCCCGGGCUCAACCUGGGAAUUGCGAUGGAGACUGCAAGGCUUGAAUCUGGCAGAGGGGGGUAGAAUUCCACGUGUAGCAGUGAAAUGCGUAGAGAUGUGGAGGAACACCGAUGGCGAAGGCAGCCCCCUGGGUCAAGAUUGACGCUCAUGCACGAAAGCGUGGGGAGCAAACAGG
rnacentral:rRNA from 1 species